rnacentral:rRNA from 1 species
GCUUAACACAUGCAAGUCGAGCGAAGCACUUAAGUUUGAUUCUUCGGAUGAAGACUUUUGUGACUGAGCGGCGGACGGGUGAGUAACGCGUGGGUAACCUGCCUCAUACAGGGGGAUAACAGUUAGAAAUGACUGCUAAUACCGCAUAAGACCACAGGGUCGCAUGACCCGGUGGUAAAAACUCCGGUGGUAUGAGAUGGACCCGCGUCUGAUUAGCUAGUUGGUGGGGUAACGGCUCACCAAGGCGACGAUCAGUAGCCGACCUGAGAGGGUGACCGGCCACAUUGGGACUGAGACACGGCCCAAACUCCUACGGGAGGCAGCAGUGGGGAAUAUUGCACAAUGGGCGAAAGCCUGAUGCAGCGACGCCGCGUGAAGGAUGAAGUAUUUCGGUAUGUAAACUUCUAUCAGCAGGGAAGAAGAUGACGGUACCUGAGUAAGAAGCACCGGCUAAAUACGUGCCAGCAGCCGCGGUAAUACGUAUGGUGCAAGCGUUAUCCGGAUUUACUGGGUGUAAAGGGAGCGUAGACGGAUAGGCAAGUCUGGAGUGAAAACCCAGGGCUCAACCCUGGGACUGCUUUGGAAACUGCAGAUCUGGAGUGCCGGAGAGGUAAGCGGAAUUCCUAGUGUAGCGGUGAAAUGCGUAGAUAUUAGGAGGAACACCAGUGGCGAAGGCGGCUUACUGGACGGUGACUGACGUUGAGGCUCGAAAGCGUGGGGAGCAAACAGGAUUAG